GAUGAAAGAUGGCGGAGGGGGGAAUACAUGCAAGUCGAGCGAACAGACGAGGAGCUUGCUCCUCUGACGUUAGCGGCGGACGGGUGAGUAACACGUGGAUAACCUACCUAUAAGACUGGGAUAACUUCGGGAAACCGGAGCUAAUACCGGAUAAUAUAUUGAACCGCAUGGUUCAAUAGUGAAAGACGGUUUUGCUGUCACUUAUAGAUGGAUCCGCGCCGCAUUAGCUAGUUGGUAAGGUAACGGCUUACCAAGGCAACGAUGCGUAGCCGACCUGAGAGGGUGAUCGGCCACACUGGAACUGAGACACGGUCCAGACUCCUACGGGAGGCAGCAGUAGGGAAUCUUCCGCAAUGGGCGAAAGCCUGACGGAGCAACGCCGCGUGAGUGAUGAAGGUCUUCGGAUCGUAAAACUCUGUUAUUAGGGAAGAACAAAUGUGUAAGUAACUAUGCACGUCUUGACGGUACCUAAUCAGAAAGCCACGGCUAACUACGUG
rnacentral:rRNA from 1 species